rnacentral:rRNA from 1 species
UACGAGGGGGGCAAGCGUUGUUCGGAUUUAUUGGGCGUAAAGGGUGCGUAGGCGGUUUGGCAAGUCUUGUGUGAAAUCUUUGGGCUCAACCCAAAGCCUGCACGAGAAACUGCCGGGCUUGAGUAUGGGAGAGGUGAGUGGAAUUUCCGGUGUAGCGGUGAAAUGCGUAGAUAUCUGGAGGAACACCUGUGGCGAAAGCGGCUCACUGGACCACAACUGACGCUGAGGCGCGAAAGCUAGGGGAGCAAACAGG